AGGGGAUCGUAAGACCUUGCGCUUUUGGAGCGGCCGAUGUCUGAUUAGCUAGUUGGUGGGGUAAUGGCCUACCAAAGCUUCGAUCAGUAGUUGGUCUGAGAGGACGGCCAGCCACACUGGGAGUGAGACGCGGCCCAGACUCCUACGGGAGGCAGCAGUGGGGAAUUUUGGACAAUGGGCGCAAGCCUGAUCCAGCCAUGCCGCGUGAGUGAAGAAGGCCUUCGGGUUGUAAAGCUCUUUCAGCCGGGAAGAAAAGGGUGCGAUUAAUAAUCGCAGUUCAUGACGGUACCGGAAGAAGAAGCACCGGCUAACUACGUGCCAGCAGCCGCGGUAAUACGUAGGGUGCGAGCGUUAAUCGGAAUUACUGGGCGUAAAGGGUGCGCAGGCGGUUUUGUAAGUCAGAUGUGA
rnacentral:rRNA from 1 species